rnacentral:rRNA from 1 species
GUAGUCUCGCACAGAUGCAUAUCAAUAAGCGGAGGAAAAGAAACUAACAAGGAUUCCCCUAGUAACGGCGAGUGAAGCGGGAAGAGCUCAAAUUUGAAAUCUUAAAGGGUUUCCCUUUACGAAUUGUAGUUUAAAGAAGUGUUUUCUGUUGAGGUUUUGGUAAAAGUUCUUUGGAAUAGGGCAUCAUAGAGGGUGAGAAUCCCGUAUUUGACCUUUACUUUCAACUUUGUGAUACACUUUCAAAGAGUCGGAUUGUUUGGGAAUGCAGUCCAAAAUGGGUGGUAAAUUUCAUCUAAAGCUAAAUAUUGGCGAGAGACCGAUAGCGAACAAGUGCCGUGAGGGAAAGAUGAAAAGAACUUUGAAAAGAGAGUUAAACAGUACGUGAAAUUGUCAAAAGGGAAGCGUUUGGACACCAGUGUUGUUUUUCUGAAAAUCAAUUAAAGAACUGUUUAUGCUAAGUUGUUUAGACUUUAUCAGCUAAUCUGCUUAGUUUUGAGCUUUUCUCUAAUGCACUUUUCAGUUAACAAGUCAACAUCAAUUUCUUUUGCUGUAAAAAAGCUUGAGGAAGGUGGCUUGAGAUUCGUCUUAAGUGUUUAUAGCCUCUUGCCUAUGCAGUCGGAGAGAUUGAGGUCUGCAGCGUAGAUCCUUCGGGGCUAAAUGCAUUUGUGCUAAGUUAUAGCAUUUUAUAGACAACUUGUCGACUAUGAUUUGUCUUGUAGCUUACUCGCUUAUGUUAUUUUACCUACGCUUAGGAUGUUGACGCAUGAGAUAUACGC